rnacentral:rRNA from 1 species
UACGAAGGGGGCGAGCGUUGUUCGGAUUUACUGGGCGUAAAGGGCGCGCAGGCGGCUCAUUUUGUCAGGCGUGAAAGCCCCGGGCUUAACCUGGGAACUGCGUUUGAUACGGAUGGGCUAGAGUUCGAGAGAGGAGAGUGGAAUUCCCAGUGUAGAGGUGAAAUUCGUAGAUAUUGGGAAGAACAUCGGUGGCGAAGGCGGCUCUCUGGACCGAUACUGACGCUGAGGCGCGAAAGCGUGGGGAGCAAACAGG